CCUACGGGAGGCAGCAGUGGGGAAUAUUGCACAAUGGGGGAAACCCUGAUGCAGCGACGCCGCGUGAGUGAAGAAGUACUUCGUUAUGUAAAGCUCUAUCAGCAGGGAAGAAAAUGACGGUAGCUGAGUAACAAGCCACUGCUCACUACGUGCCAGCAGCCGCGGUCAUACGUAGGGGCCGCGCUGUAACCGGAUUUACUGGGGGUAAAGGGAGCGUAGACGGCAGUGCAAGGCCCGAGCGAAAGGCGGGGGCUCAACCCCCGGACUGCUCUGGAAACUGGACGGCUGGAGUGCAGGAGAGGUAAGUGGAAUUCCUGGUGUAGCGGUGAAAUGCGUAGAUAUCAGGAGGAACACCAGUGGCGAAGGCGGCUUACUGG
rnacentral:rRNA from 1 species